AGCUGCUACGCAUCUGCACCAUGCCACCAUCUGCACCACCGCUACUAAUCUGCACCACCGCUGCUUCGGACUGUUUCCCAACCCCCGGUGCACGACAACUUCCAAAUUCUGAGGUGAAGUUGAUGAUGGUUGAUUGCGGCUAACCCUAGAAAUUCUGGGGCACUGAAAUCUUGAUCAUUUGUUAUUGGAUAUGCCUGGACAUACUCGCACUUGGUUUAUUAUGUGCUAGAUGCAGUGGAUGGACUCCAGAAUUCUUGCCCUGUUGUUACCUCUAAGACUUAUCUGAGACAAAUAAGAAGAGAUAGUCGAAGACUUUUGCACACUUUUUCCCUUUUCUUUGCAUUUGAAUUGUAUUAGAAAUUUAGGAUUAGGUUUGGUUACUUGAGUUAUAUUUUCUUUUUCCAAUUUAGCUUUUUGGGAUGAAUUAAUACUGGCCAGGAUGAAUUAUUAUUGGCCACAUUCUUGGUUGAAUUAGGAUGAUUUUGUAAUAUAGUGUAAAAGAUUAUGGAUUUUGUAAUGUAUCUUGUAUUAAUCGAAAGCUUGUAUAUUGAUGGUUUCUGUCAA